rnacentral:rRNA from 1 species
AGUAAUACAUCGGAACGUACCCAGUAGCGGGGGAUAACCUCUCGAAAGAGAAGCUAAUACCGCAUACGACCUAUGGGUGAAAGCGGGGGAUCGCAAGACCUCGCACUAUUGGAGCGGCCGAUGUCGGAUUAGCUAGUUGGCGGGGUAACGGCCCACCAAGGCGACGAUCCGUAGCUGGUCUGAGAGGAUGAUCAGCCACAUUGGUACUGAGACACGGACCAG